ACAUACCGAUGACAGGUCUAGAGAUAGAGUUUCCCUUUUAGGGCAUCGGAGUACAGGUGGUGCAUGGUUGUCGUCAGCUCGUGUCGUGAGAUGUUGGGUUAAGUCCCGCAACGAGCGCAACCCCUAUUGUUAGUUGCCAUCAUUAAGUUGGGCACUCUAGCGAGACUGCCAGUAAUAAACUGGAGGAAAGGUGGGGAUGACGUCAAAUCAUCAUGCCCCUUAUGACCUGGGCUACACACGUGCUACAAUGGGAAGUACAACGAGUUGCGAGGCGGUGACGCCAAGCUAAUCUCUUAAAGCUUCUCUCAGUUCGGAUUGUAGGCUGCAACUCGCCUACAUGAAGUCGGAAUCGCUAGUAAUCGCGGAUCAGCACGCCGCGGUGAAUACGUUCCCGGGCCUUGUACACACCGCCCGUCACACCACGAGAGUUUGUAACACCCGAAGUCGGUGAGGUAACCGUAAGGAGCCAACCGCCUAAGGUGGGAUAGAUGAUUGGGGUGAAGUCGUAACAAGGUAGGCGUAGAUGA
rnacentral:rRNA from 1 species